rnacentral:sRNA from 1 species
ACGCUGGCUCCGUGACUAAUACAUGCAAGUCGAGCGAACUUGCGGGAGCUUGCUCCCAAAAGUUAGCGGCGGACGGGUGAGUAACACGUGGGCAACCUGCCUAUAAGACUGGGAUAACUUCGGGAAACCGGAGCUAAUACCGGAUAAUUCUUUUCUACUCAUGUAGAAAAGCUAAAAGACGGCUUACGCUGUCACUUAUAGAUGGGCCCGCGGCGCAUUAGCUAGUUGGUGGGGUAAUGGCCCACCAAGGCGACGAUGGGUAGCCGAGCUGAGAGGCUGACCGGCCGCACUGGGACUGAGACACGGCCCAGACUCCUACGGGAGGCAGCAGUGGG